UUUUAAUAUUUUUAAUGACACGUGGUGCCCAGUCAUUGUCCACAUGGGCGCCACAUCAUCACUUAACGGAAGAAUUAACAGUUUGACUAACGGAUGUAUGAGACUAUCCCAAAAUUAACACUUUAGGUAUGACUCUGGGUCGAAAAAUACUUGAUGUACAAAUUGUUGAAAACCACGAAACAUGAGGGUAGUAAACAGAGUUUCACCCAAAAAAAAAUGUCUUGUUGAUUGAAAAGUCACAUCAACCAACACAAAACAAAGACUUUAUGUAAUCAACCAAAACUUUGAAUCAAAUCACCAAACUUUUUGUUCUUGGUAUGAACAAAGCAAGAACAUUGAAGAACAUCCAUGAAAACCCAUAAGAGCUCCAUGAAUGUCUUCUCUCAAUAGAACUCAAAUUUUCACUACUCAAAAGGGGGUUAACAUCCUAGGGUCCUUAGGGGUUCGAAAAGUCACUUUAAAACACUUUAACAAGACAACCAUGAACCCAAAAAUUCACCCUUUGGAUUUGGCCGAAUUUCCCCAUAAACGUGGCACCAAAUUUUAGCUCCAAAAUUCGUGCUCAUAUGAACUACAUCUACAACGUUUGAGAUGGCAAAUUUUCUAGCAAAAUUUACAUUCAAAGAAGCAAGACUAUGAACUACAAAACCCAAAAGGAUACACCAACUACUAGACCUAGGCUCUGAUACCACUUGAAGGAAAUAUUUGUGAAAACAACUUCAUUUGAGCAACAUCUACAACAUGCAAUUAACAAUUAAAGGCGGAAUCAUGCUUAUAUGCACUCAAAAACAAAACUUUACCCAUGAAAUUCAAAGCCUAGUAGUUGGGUGAACCAAGACUCAACUCAUGAACAAAGUGAGUUGAGAAAUAUUAUACCUUUGUUGAUUCCUCUUUGCAUAACCAAGGGCUAAUCACCCAAGAGAUAGGGCCUUCAUUCCUUGCUUCUUUGCUCCAUGGAUUUCUUGGAGGAGGAUGGUGGAAUGGAUUAUCCAAGUUCCCAAGAAAGGCAACCUCCAAGUCCCCACACCAAGGAGAGCAUUGAUGAGGAGAUGAGUGACCUAGGAAGAUUUAAUGGGCUUGACAUUCAAAUCCUAUUGGGCCUUGCGGCCCAAAACUAACCCAAGGUCUAUAAUAAACAUAUUUGUUUGAUUAAUUGACAUAUUAAUUAAUCCUAGCCAUAAAUAAUUAAACCAUUUAAUUAUCCUUACUCAUCUCUGUUGUUUCUUCAAUCUCUACAUUACUCGGCGUACGAUCCAUUAGGUUCCUUUUAGCGAGGCAGUGGGCAAUUGUUACUCUUAACGAUUGAUUGUGAAUUGAAACAUGCUUUCAAUCUCCCUUUAGUGAUUACUCACCUUUAGGGCUUCCACAAACCAUGAGUGACACCUAGCAGUAUGUCAUGGUUACCCAGGCUAAUCAGAAGAGGUGGAGAACCUAUUCAGUUUAGGAUUACAAUGCAAUACGGUCUUUCUCUAAUACUCUCUUGACCACAUUGUUUGGUUUGAUAGUUUAUUCAUAUCUACUAUCCAAUGUGAUUUUCUUACUUAUAUGAUUACCUUUAAUGUGAUUUGGAACAACUUUCUAAAUCUCAUUCAGACUCUGGCCAGAGAUUCUUAAUCAUAUCAUAUAGAAUUAUCCCUCAAACAGUUUAAAGGUUAGUGAUCCCUUGUUGCGCACUCACUUGCCUCCAUGGCUAAGCAGCUUAACCCCAACUAUGUCGUGGACGCCCUCUAAUGGAGUGACUUUGACAUAGUCAAAGAUCAAGGACCUAAGCACAAGACGACUAUGAUGCCUCAAGUCAAAUGACUACUUUGCAUUAUUCCAACCAUGAAUUCUCAUGUGACAUAUGUAUGAGAACUCCUUGUUGAUCAUGUUCAAUGGACUCAUUCUCUAUUGAGUAUUUACAUGCUUGUCUUGGUGUUAGUCACACCAAUAACUCGAGACCAGUCAGUCUCCCUCAAAGAAACAUAACACGUAAUGGUCUUAAUGGACUGUCAAUGCCCAAUUUGAAGGAAAUAUUUGUGAAAACAAGUUCAUUUGAGCAACAUCUAUGCAUGAUAUUAACAAUUAAGAGGCAUAAUCAUGCUUGUAUGCACUAAAAAACAAAACUUAACCCAUGAAAUUCAAAUCCUAGUAGUUAUGGUGAACCAAGACUCAACUCAAAACAAAGUGAGUUGAGAAAUCUUAUACCUGUGUUGAUUCCUCUUUGCUUAAGCAAAGGCUAAUCACCCAAGAGAGAUGGCCACCAUUCCUUUCUUUUUAGCUCCAUGGAUUUCUUGGAGGAGGAUGGUAGAAUGGAUUCUCCAAGUUCACAAAAUAAAGAACCUCUAAGUCUCCACACCAAGGAGAGCAUUGAUGAAUAGAUGAGUGACUUACGAAGAGAUAGAUGCAAGUAAUCUCUCCCUAGGGUGGCCGGCCUCUUAGAGAGAAAAGGGAGCUUGUGUUCUCAUCUUUUCUCCAAAAGAAACCCUAAAUGAAUUUUGGCUACAAAGUUCUUUAUAUAGUCACUUCACUUAAGUGACUUAAAGAACAAAACCCUAUUUUUAUCACAUGGCCGGCCUACCAUAGGCAUUGGGCCGUUUGGGCCCUUUUAAAUUUUAAAUCAUUUAAGUUGUCAUACAACUUAAGUUAAUGGGCUUGACAUUAGAAGCCAAUUGGGCCUUGAGGCCCAAUACUAACCCGAGGUUUAAAUCGAACUUAUUCGUUUGAUUAAUUAACAUAUGAAUUAAUCCUAGCCAUACAAAAUUAAACCAUUUAAUUGUUCUUACUCAACUCCAUUGUUUCUUCAAUCUCUAUCUUACACGGUGUACGAUCCAUUGAAGGAAAAAUUUUGUCCUAGCUAAAAACAAGUAUGAACAUUUGAAUACUCAUGCAAGCUAUUAACACUUUAAAGUAGGCAUGCAUUCAAAAACAAUUC
rnacentral:lncRNA from 1 species